GCUACAUCUGUCAUCAUGGCAUCUGAGCACACCUUCCAGAGAUGAAUUAAGUAACGUUACUGGCAUCUUUCAUUUAUGGUGCUUUCUUCAUUCCUGUUCUCCUCCUGGAGGAAAAAUGUUAAAGGACUUGCAACAAAUCCUACUCCUCUCACUCCUCCUUCCCAGAGCGUCCACUUUCUUCCUCUUAGAGGCCAGUUAUUUCCACCUCCCAAAGUCUGUCCUCCAUUAUCUGAAAUUACAGGUCAGCACCUCUCUGCUUCCCACCAAUACAGAUAGAGGGACAGAUGAAGUGAGCCCAUUGCCAGACGUGACAUUUAUGUUACCACAUCAAAACACUGAUGAAAUUCUGCACGCUGGGGAUCAUCUAGGGACCAUGGAUCUGCCCUAAAUCCAUCCAUAUUUACAACCUACACGUUUUGGUGCAGAGAGACUCAAAAAGUAAUUAAAUCCUCAUUCAAAUGUAGGACUUUCCUGUAACUGGCACUGCAGCUGACAGGAGGAAUAAUUUGUUAGCAACUGAAGUUACUAUUGAAAAUAAUGAUGGUGGUUUUGGAAAACCAAAACAGUAGAGAACUGCCAAAAUAUCGGUUUUGGGUGUGAGCAAUUGGAAUUUUCUACCCAAUAGCAUUAUUUAUUGAUGAAGCUUCCUAAACCUAAUAAAACAGUAACGUUUGGAGGUAAAUAUUUUACAUUUAUGUGAGAACUAUUAAAAUAUCCUAGUUAUCAAAGGAAGAGUGUGAUUGUGGUGGUGAUUAUACACUGAAUGUUCACAUAUGUUUCAGGGCAACUUUUUACUGUAUUUAGCCUUAAGUGUUAGUGAUGCAAAGCCAGGGCAUUACACAAAAUACAGACUAUAUAAACACUGUGACUCACACUAGUCAACACUAAUUCAACUUUUCAACCAGAUAAAAGAAAAACAGAGGGAGGAUCCCUGCUGACCCAGCAUUAGCAGGGCAGCACUGUAAUGGAACUGGAAGCAGCAAUAUCUGCUUAAUGUCACCAACAAAAUAGAUGGAUACAGGGUAGAGAGCAAA